rnacentral:rRNA from 1 species
UACGUAGGGGGCAAGCGUUAUCCGGAUUUACUGGGUGUAAAGGGAGCGUAGACGGCAGAGCAAGUCUGAAGUGAAAGCCCGCGGCCCAACUGCGGGACUGCUUUGGAAACUGCCCGGCUAGAGUGCUGGAGAGGUAAGCGGAAUUCCUAGUGUAGCGGUGAAAUGCGUAGAUAUUAGGAGGAACACCAGUAGCGAAGGCGGCUUACUGGACAGUAACUGACGUUGAGGCUCGAAAGCGUGGGGAGCAAACAGG